UGUACUACCGAUAACCGUUUGAGAGAAGGGAUGACACAGUAGGAUAAGCUAAGCACACUGUUGGUUAUGUGUGCCCAAGCAUUGAGGCAGUCAAAGUAGGUAAAUCCGCUUUGAUAAUGCUGGGAUGUGAUGGGGAGCGAAAUUUAGUAGCGAAGUAGCUGAUUUCACACUGUCAAGAAAAGUCUCUAUCGAGGUUAAAGGU
rnacentral:rRNA from 1 species